rnacentral:rRNA from 1 species
CCUACGGGAGGCUGCAGUGAGGAAUAUUGGUCAAUGGACGAGAGUCUGAACCAGCCAAGUAGCGUGAAGGAUGACUGCCCUAUGGGUUGUAAACUUCUUUUAUAUGGGAAUAAAACGUUCCACGUGUGGGAUUUGGUAUGUACCAUAUGAAUAAGGAUCGGCUAACUCCGUGCCAGCAGCCGCGGUAAUACGGAGGGUCCGGGCGUUAUCCGGAUUUAUUGGGUGUAACGGGCGAGUAGGUGGAUUGUUAAGUCAGUUGUGAAAGUUUGAGGCUCAACCGUAAAAUUGCAGUUGAAACUGGCAGUCUUGAGUACAGUAGAGGUAGGCGGAAUUCGUGGUGUAGCGGUGAAAUGCUUAGAUAUCACGAAGAACUCCGAUUGCGAAGGCAGUUCACUGGACUGCAACUGACACUGAGGCUCGAAAGUGUGGGUAUCAAACAGGAUUAGAUACCCGGGUAGUC